rnacentral:tRNA from 1 species
UUCUAAAAAAGCAGCAGAGUGAGUGCGAAGGAGUUARGUUCCUUAUACGGGAGUAAAGCAAUUGCAUGAUGAAAU